UAGUCCGAACCCCCGAAACUAAGUGAGCUACUUCGAAACGUCUUAAGGACAAACCCGUCUCUGUCGCAAUAGAGUGGGGUGAUUUUCAAGUAGCGGCGACAAACCUACCGCACUUAGAGAUAGCUGGUUGCUCAAGAACAGAAUACAAGUUCAGCCUUAAGUUUUUCAAUUACAAAAGAAGCCUUACAAGACUUAAGAGUUAUUCAAAUAAGGCACAGCUUAUUUGAACUAGGGUACAACCUACAACCCCGGGUAAAACUUCAGAAUUAAUAACAAGUGGGCCUAAAAGCAGCCACCUUCUAAAAAGCGUUAAAGCUUAAUUUUUAUUUUAUUCAAAUAUCUAAAUAUACCUUUAACCCACCACUAAUAUUGAGCAAUUUCAUAACAUAUGAAAAAUAUAAUGCUAAAACUAGUAACAAGAAAGUUUUCUCCAAAAUGCAAGCCUAAGCCACAAUAGACAACCUACUGGCAAUUAACGUCAAUGACAGCCCUAUAGCACCUCAGACAAGAAAAUCCUACAACUUUAAGCGUUAACCUUACACUAGAGCACUAAUGGAAAGAUUAA
rnacentral:rRNA from 1 species